AUACGUAGGGUGCGAGCGUUGUCCGGAAUUACUGGGCGUAAAGAGCUCGUAGGUGGUUUGUCGCGUCGUCUGUGAAAUUCCGGGGCUUAACUCCGGGCGUGCAGGCGAUACGGGCAUAACUUGAGUACUGUAGGGGAGACUGGAAUUCCUGGUGUAGCGGUGGAAUGCGCAGAUAUCAGGAGGAACACCGGUGGCGAAGGCGGGUACCUGGGCAGUAACUGACGCUGAGGAGCGAAAGCAUGGGUAGCGAACAGGAUUAGAUACCCUGGUAGUCCAUGCCGUAAACGGUGGGCGCUAGGUGUAGGGGUCUUCCACGACUUCUGUGCCGUAGCUAACGCAUUAAGCGCCCCGCCUGGGGAGUACGGCCGCAAGGCUAAAACUCAAAUGAAUUGACGGGG
rnacentral:rRNA from 1 species